GACGAUGGCGGCCAUCGCCUUGGUGGUGGGACGAUGGGGGUCUGGCGACAGCAUUUGCGGGCUGAAGGGGUACGUGCUUGGGUGCGAUGACCUAAUUGGGAUGACGCCAACUGAAGGAGCCUGACAGUUAAUUCUGGGUCACCUUUCGCGACUUAACCUCGCUCCUGUUAUCUGGAGUAACCCUAGUGGAUGCGAGGUAUUGGGGUCGAACUCUUGGAUCCUGGCACGUGCUAGGUUAUUUAUCCCCGUCUAAGCCCGUUUCCUAAAUUAAGAAAAAAUUUUUUUUCGGGAAGACCUUGUUUAGAACCUUUGUUGCAUUCUGAUUGCAUAAGCAGUCAUUUUAAGCUUACCCUGAUACUAAAGCGAGUUAACUGAGAUCUUGUGUGUUGGGAGGGGGAAGGGUGGAGGCAGUAGGGUCAUGAAUUUUAGACUUAUGGUCAAAACCUAUCCCAGUGUAUUGAACUAUUGGGAACUUUGGAGCUUACAGGAUUUCUUUGGGGGGUCUUGGCGAUGCCUCUAGUAUACAAAAGCUGUAACUUAGGAACUUCUGUGAGCCGGGUGGUUGGUGGGUUUGAAGUCUUGUAACCCCCAUCACUGCCUGUGGCCCUUAUCGAAGCUGCAGCUGCUUCUACAUAGCUGCUGUGGUCAAAAAGGAGGCCCAGAGAAACAGUUUUCCUUGACGGUCGCGGUUCUGUUUACUGUAACUGAUCUGCAACAUUUUGGGAAAAGACAGCUCUGCCUUAAUUCCGUAGAGGUAUCUAGAGAUCUUCGUUAACCUCAGCAUAAAUAAUAAAUACUCCAGGCCUCAAAAAUGUCUUGAAUGUGGAGUUGGUAGACUAGGGCUUUUGGAAGUAGUUUGCUGAACCCAAGAUCGAUCACACAAGGGCAGUUCCAGCUUUUCCAGGUGAAGACUGAAGGUGGGUGGAGUAAGGAGACCAGAAGAUGUGACAGGUGAAAUGCAGUAGUAGGGCCUGGUUACACCCAAGGCUCUUGGAAGUCCGAGAAGCCAGCCUGUCUGACUGCUCAUUCACUAAGAGUCAUGUAACCAGUGAAGGGGCCAUCAUUUAUGAUUUGAUCUACAGUUGGUUGGAAAAAAAUCAAGCAAGAGGACCUUCCUGGAAGGGAGCAGCUUUUACUUAGCCAGGUUCUGCCAGCAGUGACGCAUACAGUUCAAGGCUAGUCUGGUCUAUGAAGCUAAUUCUAGAACAGAGCUACACAGAAACCCUGUCUUGAAAAAAAACCAAAAAAGUGAAAUGCUUUGUGAAUUAACUUGUAAUUGGGCCAAUAAAGACUUUGGAAAGUGUC